GACGGGGGGGGCAAGUGUUCUUCGAAAUGAUUAGGCGUAAAGGGUUUGUAGGUUGUUUUUUAAGUUGAAAAAAAAAAUUAAAGCUUAACUUUAUUUCUUUUUUCAAAACUGAUAAACUAGAGUAUAAAUAGAGGAUAAUAGAAUUCUUAUUGUAAGGAUAAAAUCUUGUAAUAAUAAGAGGAAUUUCCAUGGCGAAGGCAAUUAUCUGGGUAUAUACUGACACUGAGAAACGAAAGCUUGGGUAGCGAACGGG
rnacentral:rRNA from 1 species